GGGACCCUCCAGAAUUACCUUCACUGAUGAAACCACUUUUUGUUCAAAAAGGCCUCAGUCAAAGAAAGGGAUAAGACCAGACUUGGCGGACUUGCCAUGGGGCCCACUGGCUCAAAUCUUGGUCCACAUGAGAACCAUCAAAUCACCCAAAAAGUUUUUACGGCUCUGUCAGUGUAGUUUGUGCGGCCGGACCCAUGUAUAAGUCCAUGGUUGAACUUUUUUUUACGAGUCCGAUAAUGGAGUUAAGUCUGUCUUUACUUAGAUGGAAAGUGCUGUGAGCUGCUAAAGGCUCCAGCUUGACUCGGAAACUGGCGCUUCUUCUCCUUCAAGGCACUUACAUCAGACGGAGACAGGGGGGGACAAGUGCUGAUAAUGGAUGAACUGUUCACAGUACUUUUCCACAAGUGUCCAUUCUCUCAGAGGGCUGUUGCCUUCAGGCAGCCAGACAGAAGAAGCAGCCAGUGGCCGCCUGUCAGAUAAUGAGGCUCCUCACAUGGCGUUUCAUCCCCUGUGGAAUGAGAGGAAUGUGAGACCAGCGAGAGGAACUCAUCUCAAGGCUCAGCCAAACCACCCCAACCCCCCCAUUUUUUUAUAAAGCCAGCUGGAGCCACCAACACAUCCUUGACAGCAAAGAGAAGACGAAGAAGAAGAACAAGAAGAAGAAGAAGAAGAAGAAGAAUGAGGAUCCUGGGGAGGGACCUCACCCACUCAGCAUAUAACACACAUCCGGGUGUAUCCCAACCAGAAGCCUUGGAUGAAAAGGAUGUCAAAACUCUCAAGAACUGUAACGCCAGCUUCAGGUAUGUUGACAAAGCCCUAUACAAAGCUUCUGGAGCCAACCUGAAGACAGGCAUCAGGGAGGCUAACGUGGCCUGCAAGAGGAAGAUUGAGGGCCACUUCACCAACAACAACCCACGGUAGGUGUGGCAGGGCAUCCAGCACAUUACCAGCUACAAGUCCAGCAACUGCACAACUGUCAACGACGACGCCUUGCUGGAACUUGUUUUUUUUUUUUUUUUUUUUUUUUUUUUCUCACUAUGAGGUGAAAGCAGCUGCCUCUAUGACUACCGUCUGCUUGCACUUACGCCUUUCAUCAUGAAGUGUUUCAAGACUGGUCCUGCAGGAAAUCAAAGUCAGCCUCCCACCCACCUUGGGCCCACACCAGUUUUCCUACAGAGCAAAAAGGUCUACAGAGGAUGCCAUUGCCACUGCUCUUCACACUGCACAGAACCGCCUUGAACACCAGAGGAGCUAUGUGAGGAUGCUUCUCAUAGACUUCAACUUUAACACUGUCAUCGUGGGCAGACUGGUCACUAAACUUACUGACUUAGGACUUUCCUAACCCACCUGCCACCUGCCUUCUCUAUGCCCUCUACAGUCAUUACUGUGUCCCCACCCAUCCCACCAACACCAUCAUCAUCAAGUUCUCGGACGACACCACUGUGGUCUGAACUCAUAACAGACUUUCGGAUGAAUAGUGGAGAACCUGAUCCAUUAUACAUUAAGCGAGACCGUGUGGAAAGGGUCCCCAUUUUCAAAAUCCUGGGUACGCAUGUUGCCCAUGUUCCAUCAAGAGUGUGCUGAUGUACUGCAUCUCUGCAUGGUAUACCAGAUGCUCAGCAGCAGACCGGAGAGCCCUUCAGAGGGUCAUCAAUAUUGCCCAGAAGAUCAUCAGCUGUUCACUGCCCUCUUUAGAGGACUUAGUCAGCUCCUGCUGCCUCAGUAGACCAGCCAACAUACUGAAAGAACCAUCCCACCUUGGACACCCUGGCUUCUACCCCAGAGCCACAUGAGAACUGAACACUGCCAGACAUUUACACUGACUGUCUGCAGCACAGAACAAUGCACCUUUUUAUAUGUAUAUAUUCCUAAUUGCACUUCUUGAACAUAGAACCACUGUAACUCAGCAAAUGUUCCAUAUCCUCAAAUGCAAUAACUCAGCUGCUUUUUUUACUGCAUCGUAUUGUUUUUAUAUCUUAUUGUUCAAAUGUAUACAUUUUAUAAUUAAUUUAUAGAUUCUGCACUUUAAAUUCUUCCAUUUUAAUUGCUGUUUGUUAUGAGUGAAUGCACUGUCUACAUUGCCACUCAGUUGUAUUGUUCUCUGUGCAAUGACAAUAAAGGAAUUGGAGGAAAAAAAU